UAAGAGGUCUAGCCUGCCCAGUGACACUAGUUCAACGGCCGCGGUAUCCUGACCGUGCGAAGGUAGCGUAAUCAUUUGUCUUUUAAAUUAAGACUCGUAUGAAAGGCACCACGAGAAUUAAACUGUCUCCUUUUUCUAAUCUAUGAAACUGAUCUCCCCGUGAAGAAGCGGGGAUUUUAAUAUAAGACGAGAAGACCCUAUGGAGCUUCAGACGAAUAAUAAUGCCCCUCCCCUUUCCUCACUAAAAUACCAGGGCAUCUUAAUUAUUUAGUCUUGGGUUGGGGCGACCAUGGAGUAAAAAUCACCCUCCAUGCUGAACAGGACCUCCUUAAAUAAGAGCAACAGCUCUAUGAAUCAAUAAAUUGACACAUUUGACCCAAUUACUUGAUCAACGAAACAAGUUACCCUAGG
rnacentral:rRNA from 1 species